AGCGGAGGAAAAGAAACUAACCAGGGAWGCCCUUAGUAACGGCGAGCGAACCGGGCAGAGCCCAACUUGAAAAUCUCCAGCCUCCGGCUGGCGAAUUGUAGUCUAGAGAAGUGCUCUCUGCCUCAGUCCGGCCCCAAGUCCCCUGGAAAGGGGCGUCAGAGAGGGUGAGAACCCCGUUGGGACCGGUGCCUGUGGCUCCACGAGACGCUUUCGAAGAGUCGGGUUGUUUGGGAAUGCAGCCCAAAGCAGGUGGUAAAUCCCAUCUAAGGCUAAAUACAGACGGGAGACCGAUAGCGAACAAGUACCGCGAGGGAAAGAUGAAAAGAACUUUGAAAAGAGAGUUAAAAAGUGCUUGAAAUUGUUGAGAGGGAAGCGAUUGGAUCCUACGGGUGCGCCCAGGCACACGCCUGCCUAACGGUUGGCUGAAUGCGCUGGGUGCUGGUCAGCAUGGGUUGGCCGGGCGGGACAAACCCGGGGGUUGUUACCCCGGCUAUGUCGCCUGGCCGACCGAGGAAAGAAGGGCGCUCUCUGAGUCCUCCGGGAACUGCGUCCUCAAGAUGCUGGCGGAAAGGUUCCAAUCGGCCCGUCUUGAAACACGGACCAAGGAGUCUAACAUGCAUGCGAGCUGGUGGGUGGCAAACCCAUGAAGCGCAAGUAACCUGACUGGUGGGAUGGCCUGUGCCUGCACCAUCGACCGACCAUGAUCUUCUGUGAAAGGUUCGAGUACGAGCAUGCCUGUUGGGACCCGAAAGAUGGUGAACUAUGCCUGAGCAGGGCGAAGCCAGAGGAAACUCUGGUGGAGGCUCGUAGAUGUGCUGACGUGCAAAUCGCUUUUCGGACUUGGGUAUAGGGGCGAAAGACUAAUCGAACCUUCUAGUA
rnacentral:rRNA from 1 species